ACGCACGCUGGCGGCGUGCUUAACACAUGCAAGUCGAGCGGAAAGGCCACUUCGGUGGUACUCGAGCGGCGAACGGGUGAGUAACACGUGAGUAAUCUGCCCCUCACUUUGGGAUAGCCACCGGAAACGGUGAUUAAUACCGGAUAUGACCAUAUGUCGCAUGGCGUGUGGUGGAAAGUUUUUCGGUGAGGGAUGUGCUCGCGGCCUAUCAGCUUGAUGGUGAGGUAAUGGCUCACCAUGGCUUCGACGGGUAGCCGGCCUGAGAGGGUGACCGGUCACACUGGGACUGAGACACGGCCCAGACUCCUACGGGAGGCAGCAGUGGGGAAUAUUGGACAAUGGGCGGAAGCCUGAUCCAGCAACGCCGCGUGAGGGAUGACGGCCUUCGGGUUGUAAACCUCUUUCAGUACCGACGAAGCGCAAGUGACGGUAGGUACAGAAGAAGCACCGGCCAACUACGUG
rnacentral:rRNA from 1 species